rnacentral:rRNA from 1 species
GACGAACGCUGGCGGCGUGCUUAACACAUGCAAGUCGAACGAUGAAGCCUAGCUUGCUAGGUGGAUUAGUGGCGAACGGGUGAGUAAUACGUGAGUGACCUACCUUUGACUCUGGGAUAAGCCUGGGAAACUGGGUCUAAUACCGGAUACGACCAAUCUCUGCAUGGGGUGUUGGUGGAAAGCGUUAUGGAGUGGUUUUAGAUGGGCUCACGGCCUAUCAGCUUGUUGGUGAGGUAAUGGCUUACCAAGGCGACGACGGGUAGCCGGCCUGAGAGGGUGACCGGCCACACUGGGACUGAGACACGGCCCAGACUCCUACGGGAGGCAGCAGUGGGGAAUAUUGCACAAUGGGCGCAAGCCUGAUGCAGCGACGCCGCGUGAGGGAUGACGGCCUUCGGGUUGUAAACCUCUGUUAGCAUCGAAGAAGCGAAAGGGACG